GAUGAACGCUGGCGGCGUGCCUAAUACAUGCAAGUCGAGCGAACGGACGAGAAGCUUGCUUUUCUGAUGUUAGCGGCGGACGGGUGAGUAACACGUGGAUAACCUACCUAUAAGACUGGGAUAACUUCGGGAAACCGGAGCUAAUACCGGAUAAUAUUUUGAACCGCAUGGUUCAAAAGUGAAAGACGGUCUUGCUGUAACUUAUAGAUGGAUCCGCGCUGCAUUAGCUAGUUGGUAAGGUAACGGCUUACCAAGGCAACGAUGCAUAGCCGACCUGAGAGGGUGAUCGGCCACACUGGAACUGAGACACGGUCCAGACUCCUACGGGAGGCAGCAGUAGGGAAUCUUCCGCAAAGGGCGAAAGCCUGACGGAGCAACGCCGCGUGAGUGAUGAAGGUCUUCGGAUCGUAAAACUCUGUUAUUAGGGAAGAACAUAUGUGUAAGUAACUGUGCACAUCUUGACGGUACCUAAUCAGAAAGCCACGGCUAACUACGUG
rnacentral:rRNA from 1 species